AAGAAAUUCAGGUUACUACUAGUAUUAUCUUAAGUAGUACAUUCUUGGAGAGAUUCAUUGGAGUAUAUCGUAGCAAUUGAAUAGUCAUAGCAGGAUCUGCACCAGAAAGCACACAGUUUGAUGCAUGUAAGUUCGACCUGAAGUUGAGUGAAGUGUGAGUCUUUAGUUCUAUUUCAUCAAUUUCUUUCUUCAGCAUACUAAUAACCAACUAAAAGAUUGUAGUGAUCGUUAAGAGAAGAGAACAUAGUAUAAUAGUUUUUUUUUUCAUCAAUUCACAAUGAUCAAAGCUCCAGACUAACGGAUUCAGACAAUCAUCCCGGGUGGUGUGAUUUUAAGCUGGAGUGAGCAGAGCACAAACGCUCAAUUUUCAUCCUGAUUCAAGAAGUCAGAAACAAGUUUAUUAAAACUCAAAAACUUGAAAAUAUCCUCAUCUUAAACAUUGUCUUUUUCAUCUCAAGAUCUCUUCAGAAAAGCGUGAGAGCGCAUGAAAGCACCUCCGCUGGAUUCAGAAGGUUGUACUUACAUCCACUACUAUUUUUCAUGUAUCCUGCAGGGAUAAUAAAAAUGCAAACAUUCGAAGUCAUAGGUCUAACAAGAAUAUACACAUGUAGUCAAUUGCACAAGACAUCAGUGAAAAGAUGAAGGUGAAUCCAUGCAUAGAUGCACCAGCUUCCUCUGAUACAACGC